AGAGUGAACGCUGGCGGUAGGCCUAACACAUGCAAGUCGAACGGCAGCACAGUGGUAGCAAUACCAUGGGUGGCGAGUGGCGGACGGGUGAGGAAUACAUCGGAAUCUACCUUUUCGUGGGGGAUAACGUAGGGAAACUUACGCUAAUACCGCAUACGCCCUUCGGGGGAAAGCCGGGGAUCGCAAGACCUGGCGCGGAUAGAUGAGCCGAUGUCGGAUUAGCUAGUUGGUGAGGUAAUGGCUCACCAAGGCGACGAUCCGUAGCUGGUCUGAGAGGAUGAUCAGCCACACUGGGACUGAGACACGGCCCAGACUCCUACGGGAGGCAGCAGUGGGGAAUAUUGGACAAUGGGCGAAAGCCUGAUCCAGCAAUGCCGCGUGAGUGAUGAAGGCCUUAGGUUGUAAAGCUCUUUUACCCGGGAAGAUAAUGACUGUAACCGGAGAAUAAGCUCCGGCUAACUCCGUGCCAGCAGCCGCGGUAA
rnacentral:rRNA from 1 species